UUGCCCAACGCUUGUCUGAAGGGCUUGAAGGGAGGGGGGAGGGAGGCUGAGCUAAUCAUCAGUGUCCUCAGAACUGAUGAUUAUCAGUUCUAAUCAUCCCAAAACGACCUCAAAGAUGUCAUGAAGGCCUGUUGCCCGAGUCACCGCCUGCUCGGCUCACCGUAGUCAUACCGUAAACAUCCCAGCCAGCAACGCAGCAACGUCACCGCCGAAUACCCCAAUUGGCUGCUCACACACGCUACUCAAGUGCUACUGGGGAGAAUUUACAUCUCCAUCACAUCAUCAGAGGGGGAUUGUAUUUUUCCAGUCUCUUGUGAGUCAGUGGUGAGCGAGCGGGACGUGUGGCCGGUGGCCGGUGGCGGUGCUCCGCGCAUACGCAUGUCUGGGGGAGGAAUCAGCUGCCUGGCCACAACCUGACCUCAGCCUUCCUCUGCGGUCCCACACGCAAACCUGGAAGCCAGAGACCCAGGGCAGGGCCUGGCUUCGCUGACCCCAGGUGGAGGAGAGCUUUGGUUCGAAGGCAGUGCUGGGGAGAGGGACUCUGAUGCUCAGCAUGUGCCGUAGAGAGAGGGAGAAUGAUGCACUCCGACCUGUACUCCCGAGAGGGAGGCUACGAUAACAGCAGAGCUGGAUAGUAUCACUGCUCCGAUGCUCAGAAGGCCUUUGCAGCUGGUUGUGACACAAACAUAGAAGCAGACGGCAGCUAAACCUCUGCUCUCUGCAGAGGAACCAGGAGCGAGCGUUUGCAGGCUGCUUUUCGAGAAGAGGAGUCUCCUGCAGCCCUCCCCUUCGCUCAUAGCCAAGGCGAGAACUCGCUGGCCCCAGCUGUCUUUCCACCCCGGCUCUCUCGCCAGAUGUUGGCCAUUAGCGGGACCGUCACGAACCGGGGCUGGCCUCUGGGAGCAGCCUCCGUGGGACGUGGUGGUGAGCCAGGGUGUGCGUGUGCAAGCCGGCGUGCGUGCCGGCAAGUGUGUCCCCGCGGGCCGCCGUAACACAGCCGCUCCUUUGGCCCCCGGCCAGAGGGGAAAUGUCUCCCUCACACACGCACGCUCUCGGGCUCCGUGCUCACCCUUGCCCCCUCGGUGCUUCGCAAAGCCCCCGGCUCAGCUGACUCAACAGCUGAGCUCUCUGGAAGCACGGGGCUGGAGGUCUCACGUCCCUCCUCCUCCUCCUCACGUCGAGCACACGCCGCCUUCCCGGAACGUGGGGGCUCCGGCUCCUGACUCCGCUCCCUCACGUCUGCCCUCCUGAUUCAGCUCACUUUCUCCUCUCCUCAAAGGCACGGGAAGUCCAGCUCUCUGAUUCAUCCGCCGUGGGUCCUGAGGAAAAUGAAUCCUCGGCUUUCCUUUUCUGAGGAUGGAGUGGGAUCUGUUUACUCAGGGAUGUAAUGAAGUCAUUUUUUUUUUCCCAUUUAUGCCAAAAGCGGAAAACCGUUUCAAAGGGAAAGGAGUGGGUUCAGAUUUGGCCUCAGACAAAAGCUGAGUGAACUCAGAUCAGAAUCAAAGUCAAACAAAGCUUCUGGGUGGUUUGUCCAGAAGACCGAUAAGCCUUGACCCAUGUCCUCUGCCACCACAAUCAGGAAAGGACUCUCUGUUAUGGACAGGGCUACAGCCCUCUCUUCUCAACCCCUCUUCUGGCCACCCAGCCUCACCCCUUCCCCUGUUAGGACAAGAUUUCAGCAGUCCCAGGGCCUGCUUAAUCCAUUAGGUCAAUUCCUCUCGCAGAGCUGGCAGGGGAGCCCUGGAGUCCUGCUCCAGUCCUUUGGCAUCACUCUGGAAGAGCUCUUGUCCCAUCCACUGAACCCAGCAGGGACUGCGGAGGUGCCUAGGGACAAAGCAGAAAGCAGGACGGGCCAUUAUCUCCUAAAAGCAAGGACAUAGGAUCGUGCCCAGCUAAAAGCCAAGUGGGUCUGAGGCCAGGUUCAUCUCAGAAAGAUGCCUUUGACCAAAAUUGAAUCUACAGUACAAUUGCCUCCAAUGUGUGUGGUUCAGUGUUUGUUGUUGUCAUUGUUGAGUUUUGUUUGGUUGAUUUUUUCCCUCAGAGCAUUGUCUGCUCUCAGGUUUUCACCACUUGGCACCAAGAUAUUGCAGCCCAGCUCCCCAGCAGAUGCAGCCAGAGGGCAUCAGGCACUGUGUGACUGCUUGGAAGCUGAGGAGAUGCUCCUGGCCUGCCCUACCACAGCACCCACGGCGACUGCAGCUCCCUCAGCCUGGUUCUGAGGAGAAGCACCUGGGAGGCAGUGGGUAGAGCCCAGUGGCUGAAACCUUCAGCAUUUCCAUAAAUGUCUUGGCCACAGAGUGUCAGUGGUCCUAGG